UCUAUCCAUAUAUUAUUAUUACUCCCUAUGCUAUCCCUUUCCUAGUACCUGUCCUUAUAAUAUCUCUCUCUCUCUGAACUGUAAGCCUUUAAAAAGUUAAAAUUUCAAUUUAUCACUAGGUUAUCUCCCUCUAUAUAUACUUUUAAAUUUAGAUAUGUGCUUCAAUGAUUACUAUUCUACUUAAUAUUGUCUACUUAUUCCAUACAAAU
rnacentral:misc_RNA from 1 species